rnacentral:rRNA from 1 species
UUAAGUGACUAAGCGUACACGGUGGAUGCCCUGGCAGUCAGAGGCGAUGAAGGACGUGCUAAUCUGCGAAAAGCGUCGGUAAGGUGAUAUGAACCGUUAUAACCGGCGAUGUCCGAAUGGGGAAACCCAGUGCAAUUCGUUGCACUAUCGUUAACUGAAUACAUAGGUUAACGAGGCGAACCGGGGGAACUGAAACAUCUAAGUACCCCGAGGAAAAGAAAUCAACCGAGAUUCCCCCAGUAGCGGCGAGCGAACGGGGAGCAGCCCAGAGUCUGAAUCAGCUUGUGUGUUAGUGGAACGGUCUGGAAAGUCCGACGGUACAGGGUGAUAGUCCCGUACACCAAAAUGCACAGGCUGUGAACUCGAAGAGUAGGGCGGGACACGUGGUAUCCUGUCUGAAUAUGGGGGGACCAUCCUCCAAGGCUAAAUACUCCUGACUGACCGAUAGUGAACCAGUACCGUGAGGGAAAGGCGAAAAGAACCCCGGCGAGGGGAGUGAAAAAGAACCUGAAACCGUGUACGUACAAGCAGUGGGAGCACCUUCGGGUGUGACUGCGUACCUUUUGUAUAAUGGGUCAGCGACUUAUAUUCUGUAGCAAGGUUAACCGUAUAGGGGAGCCGCAGGGAAACCGAGUCUUAACUGGGCGUUAAGUUGCAGGGUAUAGACCCGAAACCCGGUGAUCUAGCCAUGGGCAGGUUGAAGGUUGGGUAACACUAACUGGAGGACCGAACCGACUAAUGUUGAAAAAUUAGCGGAUGACUUGUGGCUGGGGGUGAAAGGCCAAUCAAACCGGGAGAUAGCUGGUUCUCCCCGAAAGCUAUUUAGGUAGCGCCUCGUGAACUCAUCUUCGGGGGUAGAGCACUGUUUCGGCUAGGGGGUCAUCCCGACUUACCAACCCGAUGCAAACUACGAAUACCGAAGAAUGUUAUCACGGGAGACACACGGCGGGUGCUAACGUCCGUCGUGAAGAGGGAAACAACCCAGACCGCCAGCUAAGGUCCCAAAGUCAUGGUUAAGUGGGAAACGAUGUGGGAAGGCACAGACAGCCAGGAUGUUGGCUUAGAAGCAGCCAUCAUUUAAAGAAAGCGUAAUAGCUCACUGGUCGAGUCGGCCUGCGCGGAAGAUGUAACGGGGCUAAACCAUGCACCGAAGCUGCGGCAGCGACACUAUGUGUUGUUGGGUAGGGGAGCGUUCUGUAAGCCUGCGAAGGUGUGCUGUGAGGCAUGCUGGAGGUAUCAGAAGUGCGAAUGCUGACAUAAGUAACGAUAAAGCGGGUGAAAAGCCCGCUCGCCGGAAGACCAAGGGUUCCUGUCCAACGUUAAUCGGGGCAGGGUGAGUCGACCCCUAAGGCGAGGCCGAAAGGCGUAGUCGAUGGGAAACAGGUUAAUAUUCCUGUACUUGGUGUUACUGCGAAGGGGGGACGGAGAAGGCUAUGUUAGCCGGGCGACGGUUGUCCCGGUUUAAGCAUGUAGGCUGGUUGUCCAGGCAAAUCCGGAUAAUCAAGGCUGAGGUGUGAUGACGAGGCACUACGGUGCUGAAGUAACAAAUGCCCUGCUUCCAGGAAAAGCCUCUAAGCAUCAGGUAACAUCAAAUCGUACCCCAAACCGACACAGGUGGUCAGGUAGAGAAUACCAAGGCGCUUGAGAGAACUCGGGUGAAGGAACUAGGCAAAAUGGUGCCGUAACUUCGGGAGAAGGCACGCUGGUGUGUAGGUGAAGUCCCUGCGGAUGGAGCUGAGACCAGUCGAAGAUACCAGCUGGCUGCAACUGUUUAUUAAAAACACAGCACUGUGCAAACACGAAAGUGGACGUAUACGGUGUGACGCCUGCCCGGUGCCGGAAGGUUAAUUGAUGGGGUUAUCCGUAAGGAGAAGCUCUUGAUCGAAGCCCCGGUAAACGGCGGCCGUAACUAUAACGGUCCUAAGGUAGCGAAAUUCCUUGUCGGGUAAGUUCCGACCUGCACGAAUGGCGUAAUGAUGGCCAGGCUGUCUCCACCCGAGACUCAGUGAAAUUGAACUCGCUGUGAAGAUGCAGUGUACCCGCGGCAAGACGGAAAGACCCCGUGAACCUUUACUAUAGCUUGACACUGAACAUUGAGCCUUGAUGUGUAGGAUAGGUGGGAGGCUUUGAAGCGUGGACGCCAGUCUGCGUGGAGCCAACCUUGAAAUACCACCCUUUAAUGUUUGAUGUUCUAACGUUGGCCCCUGACCGGGGUUGCGGACAGUGUCUGGUGGGUAGUUUGACUGGGGCGGUCUCCUCCCAAAGCGUAACGGAGGAGCACGAAGGUUAGCUAAUCCUGGUCGGACAUCAGGAGGUUAGUGCAAUGGCAUAAGCUAGCUUGACUGCGAGCGUGACGGCGCGAGCAGGUGCGAAAGCAGGUCAUAGUGAUCCGGUGGUUCUGAAUGGAAGGGCCAUCGCUCAACGGAUAAAAGGUACUCCGGGGAUAACAGGCUGAUACCGCCCAAGAGUUCAUAUCGACGGCGGUGUUUGGCACCUCGAUGUCGGCUCAUCACAUCCUGGGGCUGAAGUAGGUCCCAAGGGUAUGGCUGUUCGCCAUUUAAAGUGGUACGCGAGCUGGGUUUAGAACGUCGUGAGACAGUUCGGUCCCUAUCUGCCGUGGGCGCUGGAGAAUUGAGGGGGGCUGCUCCUAGUACGAGAGGACCGGAGUGGACGCAUCACUGGUGUUCGGGUUGUCAUGCCAAUGGCACUGCCCGGUAGCUAAAUGCGGAAGAGAUAAGUGCUGAAAGCAUCUAAGCACGAAACUUGCCCCGAGAUGAGUUCUCCCUGAGACUUUAAGUCUCCUGAAGGAACGUUGAAGACGACGACGUUGAUAGGCCGGGUGUGUAAGCGCAGCGAUGCGUUGAGCUAACCGGUACUAAUGAACCGUGAGGCUUAACCUU